UGAAAUCUCACCAGGCCCGGACACUGGAAGGAUUGACAGAUUUAUGGCUUAAUUUGACUCAACACGGGAAAUCUCAUCAGGCCCGGACACUGGAAGGAUUGACAGAUUGAUACCUCUUUCUUGAUUCUGUGGGUGGUGGUGCAUGGCCGUUCUUAGUUGGUGGAGUGAUUUGUCUGGUUAAUUCCGAUAACGAACGAGACUCUGUCCUGCUAAAUAGAGUCUGCUUCUCUUUUGAGCAGACAAUUCUUCUUAGAGGGACAGGCGACUCUUGAGCAAUAA
rnacentral:rRNA from 1 species